AUUGAACGCUUGCGGCAUGCUUUACACAUGCAAGUCGAACGGUAACAGGUUAAGCUGACGAGUGGCGAACGGGUGAGUAAUGCAUCGGAACGUGCCCGAUCGUGGGGGAUAACGCAGCGAAAGCUGCGCUAAUACCGCAUACGAUCUGAGGAUGAAAGCGGGGGACCGUAAGGCCUCGCGCGAUCGGAGCGGCCGAUGUCAGAUUAGGUAGUUGGUGGGGUAAAGGCCCACCAAGCCUACGAUCUGUAGCUGGUCUGAGAGGACGACCGGCCACACUGGGACUGAGACACGGCCCAGACUCCUACGGGAGGCAGCAGUGGGGAAUUUUGGACAAUGGGCGAAAGCCUGAUCCAGCAAUGCCGCGUGCAGGAAGAAGGCCUUCGGGUUGUAAACUGCUUUUGUACGGAGCGAAAAGGUCCUUUCUAAUACAAGGGGCUCAUGACGGUACCGUAAGAAUAAGCACCGGCUAACUACGUGCCAGCCGCCGCCGUAAGAC
rnacentral:rRNA from 1 species